rnacentral:rRNA from 1 species
AUUGAACGCUGGCGACAUGCCUUACACAUGCAAGUCGAACGGCAGCACGGGUGCUUGCACCUGGUGGCGAGUGGCGAACGGGUGAGUAAUACAUCGGAACAUGUCCUGUAGUGGGGGAUAGCCCGGCGAAAGCCGGAUUAAUACCGCAUACGAUCUACGGAUGAAAGCGGGGGACCUUCGGGCCUCGCGCUAUAGGGUUGGCCGAUGGCUGAUUAGCUAGUUGGUGGGGUAAAGGCCUACCAAGGCGACGAUCAGUAGCUGAUCUGAGAGGACGACCAGCCACACUGGGACUGAGACACGGCCCAGACUCCUACGGGAGGCAGCAGUGGGGAAUUUUGGACAAUGGGCGAAAGCCUGAUCCAGCAAUGCCGCGUGUGUGAAGAAGGCCUUCGGGUUGUAAAGCACUUUUGUCCGGAAAGAAAUCCUUGGCCCUAAUACGGUCGGGGGAUGACGGUACCGGAAGAAUAAGCACCGGCUAACUACGUG